CCUACGGGUGGCAGCAGUGGGGAAUAUUGGACAAUGGGGGGAACCCUGAUCCAGCCAUGCCGCGUGUGUGAAGAAGGCCCUCGGGUUGUAAAGCACUUUCAGUGAGGAAGAACGCCUGGUGGUUAAUACCCAUCAGGAAAGACAUCACUCACAGAAGAAGCACCGGCUAACUCCGUGCCAGCAGCCGCGGUAAUACGGAGGGUGCGAGCGUUAAUCGGAAUUACUGGGCGUAAAGCGCGCGUAGGUGGCUUGAUAAGCCGGUUGUGAAAGCCCCGGGCUCAACCUGGGAACGGCAUCCGGAACUGGCAAGCUAGAGUGCAGGAGAGGAAGGUAGAAUUCCCGGUGUAGCGGUGAAAUGCGUAGAGAUCGGGAGGAAUACCAGUGGCGAAGGCGGCCUUCUGGACUGACACUGACACUGAGGUGCGAAAGCGUGGGUAGCAAACAGGAUUAGAUACCCUUGUAGUC
rnacentral:rRNA from 1 species